UCUUUAGGGAUGCCUGGGGCUCCUUUGUCCUUAGAGCAGCCUGAGGGGGAUGCCCCUUUUGGGCACCCUUGUGGGUCACAUUUCUAGGGUCGCCUAGGCUUUCCUUCUCCUCAGAGAAGCCUGAUGGAGAUGCCAGGGUUGGGGACCAUUGUGGGUCUUGUCUCUAGGAUCACCAGGAACCCCCUUCUCCUCAGAGCAGCCUGAGGGAGAAGCCUGGUGUGGGGACUCUCCUGGGUAACCUCUCUAGGGACACCUUCUCAGAGCACCUGAGGGAGAUGCCAGGCCUUGGGACCCUCAUGGGUCAUUUCUCUAAGUAGAUCCAGGGUUCCUAUCUCCUCAGAGUGGCCUGAGUGAGACGCCAGUGUGGGGACCCUACUGGGUCUCACCUGUAGGGCAUGUCACAGCUUGUAGGGGCAUGCUGCAACAUGUGGUGCCACAGUCUGGCUGGGCACAAAAUAACCGAGCCGCCAGGAGGCACUUGUAGGUACAAACAGGAACUCCUUUAUUGCCCGAACUCCCGAGAACAACACCCACACGGCCUUUCCAGGAACAUCACCAACCGGAAAUCCCUCCUCCAGAAGUUCCCCAACCAAAGUGAACUCCCCAGGAAUCCCCAGGAGAACUCCGAAGUAGUGGGGCGCCCUGGGCACCCUAGGCAGACAGCAGGGGUCUAUACACAACUGAAUACACAGCUUAACUUAGACAUUAUCAUCUCAAUGGCUCACUGGCAUCACCUCUCAACCACUCCCUCUGGUAAAAUGCUAGGCAUCAUUCCUACUUGACUGUGGCUCUCAACAUCUCCCCCCUGACAGAUUAUUCUAAUGUCUUCUUUAUGUAAGUGGGUUUUCCAGACUGUGGGAAAAGGAGCAGUUUUAGAGAUAUCCCUUCCUGAGAUUGUUACAGAAAGACACCAAAGCCUGUGCUCUCCCAUAAGGUAGCUAUGAAUCUUUAUGCAUGUGACAGAUUUUGGAGAGUCCCACACCUUUGCUGCUACUGAGAAAUUGUGGAAAUAGAUCAUAUAGGAAUGACCAGUCCACUCUACUAGGGUCAGGUAACCUAGUGGAGACUCAGGUGAGGUCUGACUUCCACCUUAAAUCUUCUUUGAUUUCUGUUUUUGGCAGAAGAAAGAUGGUCCAAAUUUAGGUAUCCAAGCUAGGAGAGACAAUGCAGCUCAUCGGUGCUCUCACAAUCAAACCUGAGAGCAACAGGCCUCCAGAGACUUCAGACAAAUGUGAGCACUGGGCUGGCUUCUGAAUAUUUCACACAGGCUUCUUCAGUUUGCUUUCUCCCACAUAGGGAGUGGGAAAGGUGUUUCAGCAGCACUGAUGGAACCAAGUGAGUGAUGCCUGAGCACAACCAGAUGAGGCUGAUGCACUUUGCUUCCUUUUAGAAAAAGCCCCUUCUGUACCUGAUUUGUAAUCUGGUGUAUUAAGAUUUUUUGUUUUUAUGUUUUAUUUAGAGACAGGAUCUCACUAAGUUCCUUAGGGAAGAAUGGAUAAUGUUUGGCUGGAAAUAAACUUCUCCAUGCUGUGUGCAUCCAAUAAUAAGUCAAAAGAGUGCUGUGUGGAGUGCUCCUCAGCCUUAGAGAUUCACAGAUAUUCCAGAACACAGUGUCCAUGGUUUGCAGGUAUCACUCCUUUGAUCCUGGAGUUUUUUAAGUCUCUGGGCUGGGGCUCCAUCCCAGCUGUCUCCUUGACCUCAUCUGUUUGUGGAGCCUUCUGCCCAGCAGGGAUAGCAGGAGUGGUCCUGAUGUUGAGAGGAAGGGUCCCUUCACCUAGGAUACGGGUGCCUCAGAAAAGACUCCUCCCUUUUUAUUGCCCUACUUGUGUAAAUGCAACUAAGACUGUAAACGGUGCUGUAUGGGUGUGUGGCUACUGGCCACAGGCUUUUAAAUAGAUUCUAAGUGUUUGAUGUUCUAGCACCCUGAAUGAUUCGAAGAUGAUUGAGUAAACAUCUUAUCCUAAUUUUUAAAUUAUCAAGCUAACUUUCAUUGUGGUGAAAAAAGAUAAACACCAGCUUUUUUGUUAAAAACAAUCAUGAACAUAGAAAUCUGUGGGAACAAGUGCAUGGAGUACUGCAUACAUGGCAUACCUUAAGGGUGUCUGAGAGGCAAAGCACGGCCCUGUGCUAGGCGGGUGAGUAGCAUACCAUUCACCCCAUAGGCACAGCCCUAGGCAUGAGGCCACAUGUUGCAGUACCAGCACUUGGUCCAUGGCCCCUCCUUGAUUGGUUGCUGCCAGGACAGUUGGACAGAAAUUGUAUUGGUGGCUGCCUAUAGUCUGCUCAGCUAUUGCCUAAGUUUAUAUACACGGUAACUAUGCAAUAAAAUCAGACCCGCUUCCUGCUUGGUCUCUGAAGGUCUUGAUUAUCAACUGUACAGCCACACUCUCCUCUACCCUGUACCAUGGACCUCCUCACUGGAUGAGAGAGAGCCCACAGAUAUCCAUCUCCAGGAACUGUGAUUGGCAUGGUGAUAACCAGGAAGCAAUAGUAUGAUGGUUUUAGUUUUACAUCUGAAUCUAUAACAUUCUCAGUUCACCUUGGCAAAAUCAAUUAAUUCCAAUAACUUCAACUUAGAAGGAUUUUCUGAUCCUUGACAACUAAGUUUGAUCUAUGUUUCUCACCCUUGACCAGGAACUCUCAUUUGGAUUUAGAAAUUGUGAUUAAGUUUCUUAAUCAAGUAUUUGUGUCUGUGACAAAAUCAAUGUUAAUUUUAGUGUGCCCCUAAAGCCCCUUCAAGUGUGAAUAUGAAAGUAGCAAGUUAUGUGUUUGUUGCCAGGUUGGAGUCAU